AUUGAACGCUGGCGGCAUGCUUUACACAUGCAAGUCGAACGGUAACAGGCCGCAAGGUGCUGACGAGUGGCGAACGGGUGAGUAAUGCAUCGGAACGUGCCCAGUCGUGGGGGAUAACGCAGCGAAAGCUGUGCUAAUACCGCAUACGAUCUAUGGAUGAAAGCGGGGGACCGUAAGGCCUCGCGCGAUUGGAGCGGCCGAUGCCAGAUUAGGUAGUUGGUGGGGUAAAGGCCUACCAAGCCGACGAUCUGUAGCUGGUCUGAGAGGACGACCAGCCACACUGGGACUGAGACACGGCCCAGACUCCUACGGGAGGCAGCAGUGGGGAAUUUUGGACAAUGGGCGCAAGCCUGAUCCAGCAAUGCCGCGUGCAGGAAGAAGGCCUUCGGGUUGUAAACUGCUUUUGUACGGAACGAAACGGCCUGGGUUAAUACCCUGGGCUAAUGACGGUACCGUAAGAAUAAGCACCGGCUAACUACGUGCCAGCAGCCGCCGUAAGAC
rnacentral:rRNA from 1 species